UAUUUGCUGAGAGCCGAGAGAUUUCAUACCAGAUUUCAUGCCAGAUUUCCUAUGCUUGAUAAAGUUCUUAUGAUAGUCUGUGUAUCAGCAUAAUGUAGCGUGUGGACAGUGUUUAGAUCCCGCUGGAAAUUGUGCAUCAUAUCUUUUAUGUAUGCAAGUCAUUUUGUGUCUGGGAAAUCUCCAUGGUUUUUUCAGGAUCAAUGUGUUGACUAGGCCAGUCCCGUAUUGAUAUCUUCGUGCUGUGUCACUUUGGAAGGCUGUCAAUAAUUGCUGAACUGCAUGAGGCGCCGACGAGCACCCUUAAAUGAAUGAUUCACACUUUCUCUCGUUUUCCUGAGGAAAAGAAGGGUUUCAAGCGUUGCACAGCGGAAAGAGGACGCAUGAUACAGUAGACCCUAACGCUGUGAUAUAGGCGGCAUCCAUGUCAUGGCCGUGUGUUCUAUAUCCUGUAUUUAGGAACCUCAUGAUGGAGAGACGGCAUCUGUCGAGCCAAUACAGAGGGUACAGAGGUCUCUAACCAUGGUGGAUUUAUAUUCUCACAUUCAGGAUACUGGCGAGACUGGCAUUGGAUUAACCCACACACAGUUGAUUGAAACUUGGAAUGAAAUAUAUCUGACGGUCUCAUAGUGGGAAGCAGGAAGAAUCCGUCCAUCCUUGCUUUGGAUGCAAGUCUUUCCGGUGGGUUCCAUCACCAGGUUACAGAUGACCCAUUAACCAUGAAAGAACCACCAAAAUCAAAGAAGACCAGACUGAUGUUCUUUUCAACUCUGGUCAUAGUAACUACCGUUUGGUUGGUACUCUGGACAACGUCUCCUGAUCAUGGUCAUUUGACAUGGCAAGAAGAUGUAUCAUCCACGCCUGCAUUGUGCCAUCCUUCAACAAUCAGGUAAGUGUAAGGUACCUACGAGCUCCCUAGACAAAGGUUGUAUCCCCCAACGUAGGCGCCACCCCUGUGUGACCUUAUGACUGUUCUUAGUCUUACUCAGGAAAUAUUAGGAUUUCAUAAUGAUCAGAUUUAAUGAUAAAGCCUGUAUAUUGCCGGUAUUAAAAAUAAAUGCAGAUGGACUGUAAUUAGGGACCAAUUAAAUUCUUGAUUUAGUUUGAAUCCUAACGUUUAGUUUACAAUCUGGAGGAAUUCGAAAUUGAAUCCUUUAAGAUUUGAAAAUGAAUUUGUAGGAUUCAAACUAAAUCCAGAAUUCGAUUGGUCCAUAACAGCUGUCCAUCUGCAUUUAUUUUGAAUCCCUGUAAUUUAUAUAGUUGUAUAUCAAGAAUAUACAUCAUUACAUAAUUAUACUGACAAAAGUCGAUAAUAUUUUUUGCUCUCUCUCUCUGACUGUCGUGCGAUAAUGAUAAUAAUCAUGAGAAUGACAGUACGCCUAUUUUUCAAACACCAAUUUCUCAUGAAUUAUGUGCUCAAGACGAUAUAGAGAGGAGGAAAGUUGGUUUGGGAUGGAAUAUGGAUAAAUGGAAUAACAAUGAAUGGAAUAAAAGUAUAAAGAGAUUAAUGCUAAGAGCAAUGUUUUGAAUCAUUUGGGAAUAUUACGAAUGUCAACCACUUUUCCACUACUACACAAGGAAACCAGAAAAAUCACAUCGAAUUUCUUCUCGUUUUAAUAACGACAUACACUGCACACAGAACGUAACUUGCAUGCUAGUUUAUAAUGCAUGUAGGCAUACGAGAGUGACGUUAAAGCAUUCAUUUGACUCUCUCUUCCUUGUUCUUUUGUCAUCUACAUGCUAUUUCCCUGAUUAUUUUGUUGUUGUUUUUUCGUAAGACCGUUAAAAGGCAAUUUCUUUUAUUAACUCCAUUCACCUGACAUUAACAUUUUAUUUCAUAAAGUUUGAAAAAACAGAAAAAUGAUUAUUACUAAUCUGUACUCUCAUCUGGAUACGAAUAUAAAUUCCUGUCAAAAUUAAUAAAUUGGUAUAAUCGUUCUAUUUCAUAGCUUUGUGGUCGAAUCAGAAUUAUUCAUGAUUUCAUAAUCGCACUUGGUUUAAUCGGCCUUCAGUCAAAAUGACAAAGACAAAAUGACAAAGUUAAUUGAGGUACAUGGUUACAGUGAGUCUAUUUCAGUCAAAAUGACAAAGUUAAUUGAGGUACACAAACGUUUAGGCAUAAUUUCGACUUUGUUGGUAUUACGGGAUAAUAAUAAACAUUUAGACUAUUUGAGACUUUAAUACGGAACUGCAUUAGAAUUGGGGUCAGACCGAAUGCAUUUUUGUGCAUGAUUAUGACGAGAAGUGGUAGUGAGAUAAGUAACUAUUGAUUGUUUGUCAUUGUUACAUAGAACUCAAUAUACCACAGUAGAGUCAGUAUAGGGAUCUUAUCCACAAAUUCAACCUUUGUCCAGCUCUGUAGAUUUCACAAAAUUGUAUUUAAAGCGGCAAAGGAGACACGUGUGGGUUGGUUUGCUUGAAAAUGAUGCGAGUAAAAAGAUAGAAGGGAGAGGUGAGGAUGAUUUUCAAUAUUUGCAUGACCAACGGGGUCACCAACUGCCUGCAAUAGACAUGAUGGAAGCUGGUUGCUAAAGUAGGUCACUCGGUGAAAGAUGAAGCGAGGAGUUCGACAAAGAACAACACAGCGACAUCCGAUCAUCUCAUUGAUUUAACCUAUUUGUGGCUAGCUUCAUCCAGCUAUGGACGAGGGAUGUCACACAUUAACGUCUUAGCCAAUCGAAUUCAAAUAAGCCCGGACAUAAUCAUUUUUUAAUUAUUAUUUUGUAGCAGAAGUGAUUUAGAGGUCAAAUGUUCAGAAAAAAUAUGUCAAAAUCAUCAUGUAACCAUGCAUCAAUUUUGUUUUGGAUGUACAUUUUUCUCUCCUUCCUAAAUGGAAAUUAGAAAAGAAAUGAUGCACAAAAACAAUGUAAAUGAAAUUCUAGAUAGAAAGCUAGAAUAUGAAAUACCAAAUUAUGGUGGAAUUGAUAGGCAUUAUCAUUGAAUUCAGGCUGCGAUAAUAGAUUUUGCAGUGCACUGGAGGGACAAUCAGCAUGCAUUGGGAAAAUAAUAAUGAUGGAAAUCUCAGUUAGGCUCAGGGGGUGAAUCUUAAAAUGCAAUAUGAUGAUGAUUUGAGAUUUCUAAGUUUUUUUAACGUCUCAUUGCUCGCGCUUAUCAUGCUAAUCUGCCCUGAUCAUGAACAUAAUUUUGCAUUAAAAAAAAUUGUGAAAAAUAAGCACGUACCCUUUUGUCAUGCUUGUGACGAUAAUCAUGGAUCAUUGCGCGUUCGUUCUGACAAAACAUUAUGUCGGUCUAAAAAAAAGUACUUUCUAUAAACAUGAUAAAUGAGAUUCAGAAUGUAUCCUGGUAGUAUUCGGACUUGUGCGGGGAUAUACAUGACCCUGUGUUGUUUCCAUAUGCAACUGUUAUAUUCUGACUGAUAUCAAUAGAUAUUGGACCACCAUGAAGAUCGGUGAUUUAACAAUUGACAUGUUUGAAAUGUUAUUGAAAUAGCCCCUGCUUGAG